AACGAACGCUGGCGGCAGGCCUAACACAUGCAAGUCGAGCGAGGACUUCGGUUCUAGCGGCGGACGGGUGAGUAACGCGUGGGAAUGUGCCCUUCUCUACGGAAUAGCCCUGGGAAACUGGGAGUAAUACCGUAUACGCCCUAUUGGGGAAAGAUUUAUCGGAGAAGGAUCAGCCCGCGUUGGAUUAGGUAGUUGGUGGGGUAAUGGCCUACCAAGCCGACGAUCCAUAGCUGGGUUGAGAGGAUGAUCAGCCACACUGGGACUGAGACACGGCCCAGACUCCUACGGGAGGCAGCAGUGGGGAAUCUUAGACAAUGGGGGCAACCAUGAUCGAGCCAUGCCGCGUGAGUGAUGAAGGCCUUAGGGUUGUAAAGCUCUUUCAGCUGGGAAGAUAAUGACGGUACCAGCAGAAGAAGCCCCGGCUAACUCCGUG
rnacentral:rRNA from 1 species